AGGUAUUUAGUUUAAUACAAAACAUUUGAUUUCGGCUCAGAAGAUUGUGGUUUAAUUCCGCAACUGAGCU
rnacentral:tRNA from 1 species